rnacentral:rRNA from 1 species
GUCGAGCGGUAACGGGGCUUCACCGUUCUCUUGUCGCACUUGGCCUUUGAGCCCGUGGUCUGAUACGAGGGAACAGUGAAGCUGCCGACGAGCGGCGGACGGCUGAGUAACGCGUGGGAACAUACCCCAAACUGAGGGAUAACUACUCGAAAGAGUGGCUAAUACCGCAUAUGAUCUUCGGAUUAAAGGAUUUAUCCGGUUUGGGAAUGGCCUGCGUACGAUUAGAUAGUUGGUGAGGUAAAGGCUCACCAAGUCGACGAUCGUUAGAUGGUUUGAGAGGAUGAUCAUCCAGACUGGGACUGAGACACGGCCCAGACCCCUACGGGAGGCAGCAGUAGGGAAUCUUUCACAAUGGGCGAAAGCCUGAUGGAGCAACGCCGCGUGCAGGAUGAAGGCCUUCGGGUUGUAAACUGCUUUUAUAAGCGAGAAAUAUGAUGGUAACUUAUGAAUAAGGAUCGGCUAACUACGUGCCAGCAGCCGCGGUCAUACGUAGGAUCCGAGCAUUAUCCGGAGUGACUGGGUGUAAAGAGUUGCGUAGGUGGCAUAAUAAGUAGCUAGUGAAAUCUGGUGGCUCAACCAUUCAGACUAUUAGCUAAACUGUUAAGCU